rnacentral:rRNA from 1 species
GACGAACGCUGGCGGCAUGCCUAACACACGCAAGUCGAACGAACUCUUCGGAGUUAGUGGCGCACGGGUGCGUAACGCGUGGGAAUCUGCCCUUGGGUACGGAAUAACUCAGAGAAAUUUGUGCUAAUACCGUAUAAUGUCUUCGGACCAAAGAUUUAUCGCCCAAGGAUGAGCCCGCGUAAGAUUAGCUAGUUGGUGGGGUAAAAGCCUACCAAGGCGACGAUCUUUAGCUGGUCUGAGAGGAUGACCAGCCACACUGGGACUGAGACACGGCCCAGACUCCUACGGGAGGCAGCAGUGGGGAAUAUUGGACAAUGGGCGAAAGCCUGAUCCAGCAAUGCCGCGUGAGUGAUGAAGGCCUUAGGGUUGUAAAGCUCUUUUACCAGGGAUGAUAAUGACAGUACCUGGAGAAUAAGCUCCGGCUAACUCCGUGCCAGCAGCCGCGGUAAUACGGAGGGAGCUAGCGUUGUUCGGAAUUACUGGGCGUAAAGCGCGCGUA